CCUACGGGUGGCAGCAGUGGGGAAUAUUGGACAAUGGGCGAAAGCCUGACCCAGCCAUGCCGCGUGUGUGAAGAAGGCCUUCGGGUUGUAAAGCACUUUCAGUGGGGAAGAAAGCCUUGGGGCUAAUACCCUCGAGGAAGGACAUCACCCACAGAAGAAGCACCGGCUAACUCCGUGCCAGCAGCCGCGGUAAUACGGAGGGUGCGAGCGUUAAUCGGAAUUACUGGGCGUAAAGCGCGCGUAGGCGGUCUGAUAAGCCGGUUGUGAAAGCCCCGGGCUCAACCUGGGAACGGCAUCCGGAACUGUCAGGCUAGAGUGCAGGAGAGGAAGGUAGAAUUCCCGGUGUAGCGGUGAAAUGCGUAGAGAUCGGGAGGAAUACCAGUGGCGAAGGCGGCCUUCUGGACUGACACUGACGCUGAGGUGCGAAAGCGUGGGUAGCAAACAGGAUUAGAUACCCGAGUAGUC
rnacentral:rRNA from 1 species